rnacentral:rRNA from 1 species
CGCAGCCGCGGUAAUUCCAGCUCCAAUAGCGUAUAUUAAAGUUGCUGCAGUUAAAAAGCUCGUAGUUGAAUUUCGGGACCAAUAUGUCGGUCGUGCCUCGGUACGUACUGGCAUCGUUGGUUUCUCCCUUCUGACGAACCAUGAUGUCAUUUAUUUGGUGUCGUGGGAAAUCAGGACUGUUACUUUGAAAAAUUAGAGUGUUUAAAGCAGGCUCACGCUUGAAUACAUUAGCAUGGAAUAAUGAAAUAGGACGUUUGAUUCUAUUUUGUUGGUUUCUAGGAUUGACGUAAUGAUUAAUAGGGAUAGUUGGGGGCAUUAGUAUUCAAUUGUCAGAGGUGAAAUUCUUGGAUUUAUUGAAGACUAACUACUGCGAAAGCAUUUGCCAAGGGUGUUUUCAUUAAUCAAGAACGAAAGUUAGGGGAUCGAAGACGAUCAGAUACCGUCGUAGUCUUAACCAUAAACUAUGCCGACUAGGGAUCGGAUGAUGUUAAUUUUUAAUGUACUCA